AGCGAACGCUGGCGGCAUGCCUAACACAUGCAAGUCGCACGGGGGGGCUUCGGCCUCCCAGUGGCGGACGGGUGAGGAACGCGUAGGGACCUGUCGAGGGGUGGGGGAUAACCGCGGGAAACUGCGGCUAAUACCGCAUGACGCCGCGGCGUGACAGCCGGGGCCAAAGGCGAAAGCCGCCCGCCGAGGGGCCUGCGUCCGAUUAGCUGGUUGGCGGGGUAGCGGCCCACCAAGGCGUCGAUCGGUAGCUGGUCUGAGAGGGUGAUCAGCCACACCGGGACUGAGACACGGCCCGGACUCCUACGGGAGGCAGCAGUGGGGAAUAUUGGACAAUGGGCGCAAGCCUGAUCCAGCAAUGCCGCGUGGGUGAAGAAGGUCUUCGGAUUGUAAAGCCCUUUCGGCGGGGACGAUGGUGACGGUACCCGCAGAAGAAGCCCCGGCUAGCUUCGUG
rnacentral:rRNA from 1 species